CCUGGUGGCUUGAGCAGGGAGCCUGCACCCGAUCCCAUCCCGAACUCGGACGUGAAACUCCCUAGCGCCGAUGGUACUUUGUCUUAAGGCACGGGAGAGUAGGUCGUUGCCAGGC
rnacentral:rRNA from 1 species